AGCUUCUUCACUUGUUUGCUUAAUCUCUCUUUUGCUAUUUCACCACAUCUAUAUACUCAUGGCAUUUCAAAAAGAAAACAUGGAAGUUGAAAUCAUAUCCACAAAAUUCAUAAAACCAUCUUCACCAACUCCAAAUCAUCUCCAAAAUUACAAGUUAGGUUUCUUUGAUCAAACAACUGAUGAGACACAUUUACCUCUUGUUUUUUUUUAUCCUCCUACCAACAACAUUAAUUUUUCAGCUCAUGAAGAACAACUUGAGCAAUCCUUAUCUAGGAUUUUAACUCAUGUUUACCCUAUUUCUGGCAGAUUUACCGAGGAUAACUCGAUAUCCUGCCAGGACCAAGGGGUUAAAUUUAUAAAAGCAAAAGUGAAUAGUAAACUCAAUAAAUUUCUUGAGAAAGCACACAAGGAUGUCAACCUUUCAUUGCUUUGUUGGCCUCAAGAUUCAUGGAAUGUAGAUGCAUCCAACUUAUUCGCCAUGCCAGUUGUCAUUAUCCAAAUUACAGAAUUCGAGUGUGGUGGCUUGGCUCUAUCCAUGAGCCACGCGCACAUUGCAAUGGAUGGUUACUCAACUUUUACUGUUAUCAACGAGUGGUCCAAAGUGUGUAGACUUGAGAUUCCUGUAGAGAAGAUUGAUUUCAUGAGCUUUAAUUUGGUUGAUGUUUUCCCAUCGAGAGAUUUAUCGAAGCUUCUCUUGCCUCGUGUUCCUCUAGAAGAUCGUGUGGAAUCUAAAUUAGUAGCCAAAAGACUAUACAUCAACGAAGAUUCCAUUUCAAGGCUAAGAAAAGAAGUCGGUGGAGACUUAUGCUUUAAGCCAUCAAGAGUUGAAAUGAUCAUGGCCCUCCUAUGGAGGGCUUUAAUCCGUGCUUCAGAAAAGAAGCACGGAUAUCUAAGACGUUCUCUAAUGAACAUCCCAAUAAACUUGCGCACUAGGUUAAUUUCUUUACCUCAAGUAGAAAAAUCUUUUGGAAAUCUUGGAGUUGACGCCCCUUUAAAAUUCAUACCUGGGGAGAACAAGAUGGAGUUGCACGAAUUCGUGACAUUAAUUCAUGACACUGUGAAGGAUACUGUUAUUACUUGUGACAAGACUUCACCGGAGGACAUAGUGUCCGCGGUGUCAAAGAUAUAUAAUGAAAGUUUCCUAGCACAAGAUUGGGGAGGAAGUGAUGAAGUUGAUAGGUACACAAGUUCAAGUUUGUGUAAAUUUCCUAUACAAGAAGCUGAUUUUGGUUGGGGAAAACCAUGUUUGAUGCAUUUUGGGGUCAAGACAUGAUCAGGUUUGCUGGUUGUAUGAUGCAGAAUGUGGCAAUGGGAUUUGUGUGCAAGUGGAUUUGAAGGAAGACUAUAUGCAUCUAUUUGAAUGUGACAAUGAUAUCAAGGAUUUCUUUCAGUUUUAGAGUUUAGGUCUCUAAGAUUUGGCAAUUUUUAUUUACUUUAUUGUUGUUGUCGUCGUCGUCAUUUUGGAUUUGGUAAUAUAAUAAAGUUGCAUUUGUUAUCUUGUUACAACUUAA